rnacentral:lncRNA from 1 species
AUCAAACCAAAUUUUUUCAGCUUAAUACAAAAACAUGCUAAUCUAACUUAAACCUUCGUUGUGCUGGUUUGCAGAAUUAUACUGAAAAUGCAUCCAAAUUCAUGUCAAGUGCACUUAGCUUAUGCAUGAUUGGUAUUGAAACCGGGAAAAAGCAAAAUGAUCUAUUAUUAUGAAAAAGAGUAAGACGAAUCAUAUAAUCAGAGUCCGC